rnacentral:tRNA from 1 species
CCUCUCAUGGAAUAGUGGUUAACGCGCCCCAACUAGAGAUCGGGGAGUCGUGAGUUCGAUUCUCACUGAGAAGA